AUGGUUUCGGGGGUGGACAUUGAGAAAACCUGUUUAACUAAAGAAGUAGCAAGGGAUCAUGUCAGGAAAAGCAAGGCUAAAGAGCUGCCUCUUUCUGCUGUACGCUUUAUGGAAGAAUUGGGUGAAUGUGCUUUGGAAAAAUCUAUAAAGGCCAUCUCUAUCUCCCAGGCAUGGACCAUGCUCAGCUGGUUGCUAUUCAAGACCUUGAAAGAUUAUAACAAUCCCCAGCAAUGGACAGAAUUUCAACAGGAAGCCUCCCUAAUGGCAGAACUGCACCACCCCAAUAUUGUCUGCCUGCUAGGUGCCGUCACUCAGGAACAACCUGUGUGCAUGCUUUUGAGUAUAUGAAUCAGGGGAUCUCCAUGAGUCCUCAUCAUGCGAUCCCCACACUCUGAUGUUGGCUGCAGUAGUGAUGAAGAUGGACUGUGAAAUCCAGCCUGGACCAUGGAGAUUUUCUGCACAUUGCAAUUCAGAUUGCAGCCGGCAUGGAAUACCUGUCUAGUCACUUCUUUGUCCACAAGGAUCUUGCAGCUCGCAAUAUUUUAAUCGGAGAGCAACUUCAUGUAAAAUUUCAGACUUGGGGCUUUCCAGAGAAAUUUACUCCGCUGAUUACUAUAGGGUCCAGAGUAAGUCCUUGCUGCCCAUUCGCUGGAUGCCGCCUGAAGCCAUCAUGUAUGGCAAAUCUCUUCCGAUUCAGAUAUCUGGUCCUUUGGGGUUGUCCUGUGGGAGAUUUUCAGUUUUGGACUCCAGCCAUAUUAUGGAUUCAGUAACCAGGAAGUGAUUGAGAUGGUGAGAAAACGGCAGCUCUUACCAUGUCUGAAGACUGCCCACCCAGAAUGUACAGCCUCAUGACAGAGUGCUGGGAAUGAGAUUCCUUCCAGGAGACCAAGAUUUAAAGAUAUUCACGUCCGGCUUCGGUCCUGGGAGGGACUGUCAAGUCACACCAGCUCUACUACUCCUUCGGGGGAAAUGCCACCACACAGACAACCUCCCUCAGUGCCAGCCCAGUGAGUAAUCUCAGUAACCCCAGAUAUCCUAAUUACAUAUUCCCGAGCCAGGGUAUUACACCACAGGGCCAGAUUGCUGGUUUCAUUGGCCCGCCAAUACCUCAGAACCAGCGAUUCAUUCCCAUCAAUGGAUACCCAAUACCUCCUGGAUAUGCAGCGUUUCCAGCUGCCCACUACCAGCCAACAGGUCCUCCCAGAGUGAUUCAGCACUGCCCGCCUCCCAAGAGUCGGUCCCCAAGCAGUGCCAGUGGGGUCGACUAGCACUGGCCAUGUGACUAGCUUGCCCUCAUCAGGAUCCAAUCAGGAAGCAAAUAUUCCUUUACUACCACACAUGUCAAUUCCAAAUCAUCCUGGUGGAAUGGGUAUCACCGUUUUUGGCAACAAAUCUCAAAAACCGUACAAAAUUGAUGCAAAGCAAGCAUCUUUGCUAGGAGAUGCCAAUAUUCAUGGACACACCGAAUCUAUGAUUUCUGCAGAACUGUAAAAUGCACAACUUUUGUAAAUGUGGUAUACAGGACAAACUAGACGGCCGCAGAAAAGAUUUAUAUUCAAAUGUUUCUAUUAAAGUAAGGUUCUCAUUUAGCAGACAUCGCAACAGGUAUCUUCUGUGAAGUUUGACUGUGUCUUACCAAGCAGGACAGACACUAGGCCAGAAAAAAAAAAAA